GCCGGGAUAGCUCAACGGUAGAGCAACGGUUUUGUAAACCGUAGGUUGGAGGUUCAAAUCCUCUUCCCGGCUCCA
rnacentral:tRNA from 1 species